rnacentral:sRNA from 1 species
CAACAACGGAAAGGAGGUGGUCGAAUGUCUCAUUGUCACAUGCCGCUGAAGGCGGAUCGUCAGGACUCGGCCGGCCUCGUGGUAGGUCGCAGCUUCUAACGCAUAAGCCGCCAGCGGCUGGCAAUGGAAGGGUCGCUCCAGCGAUGGGGCGGCCCU